AAUGACGACCGGCGCACGGGUGCGUAACGCGUAAGAAUCUACCUUUUGCUGAGGGAUAGCCCAAGGAAAUUUGGAUUAAUACCUCAUAGUAUGCAGACUUCACAUGAAGAUUGUAUUAAAGGUUACGGCAAAAGAUGACUAUGCGUCCUAUUAGCUAGAUGGUAAGGUAACGGCUUACCAUGGCAACGAUAGGUAGGGGCCCUGAGAGGGGGAUCCCCCACACUGGUACUGAGACACGGACCAGACUCCUACGGGAGGCAACAGUGAGGAAUAUUGGACAAUGGAGGCAACUCUGAUCCAGCCAUGCCGCGUGCAGGAUGACUGCCCUAUGGGUUGUAAACUGCUUUUAUACAGGAAGAAACACUGCUACGUGUAGCAGCUUGACGGUACUGUAAGAAUAAGGAUCGGCUAACUCCGUGCCAGCAGCCGCGGUAAUACGGAGGAUCCAAGCGUUAUCCGGAAUCAUUGGGUUUAAAGGGUUCGUAGGUGGAUAAUUAAGUCAGAGGUGAAAGUUUGCAGCUCAACUGUAAAAUUGCCUUUGAUACUGGUUAUCUUGAAUCAUUAUGAAGUAGUUAGAAUAUGUAGUGUAGCGGUGAAAUGCAUAGAUAUUACAUAGAAUACCAAUUGCGAAGGCAGAUUACUAAUAAUGUAUCGACACUGAUGGACGAAAGCGUGGGGAGCGAACAGGAUUAGAUACCCUGGUAGUCCACGCCGUAAACGAUGGUCACUAGCUGUUCGGACUUCGGUUUGAGUGGCUAAGCGAAAGUGAUAAGUGACCCACCUGGGGAGUACGUUCGCAAGAAUGAAACUCAAAGGAAUUGACGGGGGCCCGCACAAGCGGUGGAGCAUGUGGUUUAAUUCGAUGAUACGCGAGGAACCUUACCAGGGCUUAAAUGUAGAUUGACAGGACUAGAGAUAGUUUUUUCUUCGGACAAUUUACAAGGUGCUGCAUGGUUGUCGUCAGCUCGUGCCGUGAGGUGUCAGGUUAAGUCCUAUAACGAGCGCAACCCCUGUUGUUAGUUGCCAGCGAGUCAUGUCGGGAACUCUAACAAGACUGCCAGUGCAAACUGUGAGGAAGGUGGGGAUGACGUCAAAUCAUCACGGCCCUUACGUCCUGGGCUACACACGUGCUACAAUGGUAG
rnacentral:rRNA from 1 species